GAAAUCUGCAAGAUAAUUCAGGAGAAAUUUUUAACUGUGGAGUGCCCAGGUAGCCAGUUUUUCGUUUGGUUUAACAAGAAGAUACCAACAGCUCACUCAAAUGCUCUUGCUAAGCAUACAUCAGUAGUUGAAACAUGACAUGCUAUUGCAGUGUUUUCUGCAAUAACUCCUUCAUAGGUUAUAGUAAAAGUUAUUCCAAGAGGGGUAAGAAGGAAGCCACAAUUUAUGGACAUUGCAACAAGCCAGCAUCGGUAAUUUCAACCAACGUAAUUGGUGAGCUACACGCUGAGAAUGGGUGAUACUCCCCAAAUGAAGAGAUGUCACUAGAAAGAAAGAGAUUAGCUUUUCAGAGUGCGGCCUGGAUGAGUUAAG
rnacentral:lncRNA from 1 species